AUUGAACGCUGGCGGCAGGCCUAACACAUGCAAGUCGAACGAGUGGCGGACGGGUGAGUAAUGUCUGGGAAACUGCCUGAUGGAGGGGGAUAACUACUGGAAACGGUAGCUAAUACCGCAUACCAUCAGAUGUGCCCAGAUGGGAUUAGCUAGUUGGUGGGGUAACGGCUCACCAAGGCGACGAUCCCUAGCUGGUCUGAGAGGAUGACCAGCCACACUGGAACUUGGACACGGUCCAGACUCCUAAGGGAGGGAGGAGGGGGGAAGAUUGCACAAAGGGGGCAAGGCCGAAGCAGCCAUUCCGCGUGUAUUAAGAAGGCCUUUGGGGUUGAAAGGACCUUCAGCCGGGAGGCGUUACCCGCAGAAGAAGCACCGGCUAACUCCGUGCCAGCAGCCGCGGUAAUAC
rnacentral:rRNA from 1 species